rnacentral:lncRNA from 10 species
UAACAUGAAUGACUCAGAUUCUGAAGGAAGAAAAAGAAUGACAAACUAUGUUCCAGGAGAAGUAGAAUUACUGCAUCACAGGGCACUUCAUUUUUAGAUUACGUAUCAUGGCGGCAGACCUUCAAUACCAAGGUGCAUCUUCUCCAGCAAGUUCUUCAGCAUCCUUUCCAGAAGCAUUCGGCAGCCGAGAAAGCAGGCUACACCUUACCUACUCCUUCCUGGGCUAAAGAUCUCAGACUUAGUUGCUUAUCUUAAUUUGGGGAAAAUAAAUUAAGGAGUUCUUCUAUCAUUAAGCACAACAUAAUAUAAUCUAUUUAAU